rnacentral:rRNA from 1 species
CGUAGGUGAACCUGCGGAAGGAUCAUUAAUGAGUUGUGAUGGGGUUUGAUGCUGGCAGCCAAUUUUUGGAUGCAUGUGCUUGCCCUAACAAUCAUCUUCCAAACACCUGUGCACAUUUUUGAGGGAGUUUCGAGUUUNAUUGCCGUUUUUGGUGAUUUUCUUGCAUUCCCUUGAAUUAUUAUACGCUGUUAACAAUGAUGAACGUGCUCUGNGCCGCAAGGCCAUUAAUAUAAUACAACUUUUAACAACGGAUCUCUUGGCUCUCGCAUCGAUGAAGAACGCAGCGAAAUGCGAUAAGUAAUGUGAAUUGCAGAAUUCAGUGAAUCAUCGAAUCUUUGAACGCACCUUGCGCUCCCUGGUAUUCCGGGGAGCACGCCUGUUCGAGUGUCGCGAAAUUUCUCAAGCUUGGAUGGCUUUUUUGUCUGUCCUUAGCCUUGGUUGUUGGGCUUUGCCGUGUCCUUUGUUGGGACGGCUGGCCUUAAAAGCAUUAGCUGAUCCUCGUGUGGCACUGGUUCUACUCAGCGUGAUAACAGUCUGAUCGCUGAGGACAUCUUUUGGGAUGGCCAGUUCUCAUUUGGGUUGCUUCCAAACUCGGUUUUGCAGAUUCUUCAAUCUGUGUUCCACUUUUCAGCUUUGACCUCGAAUCAGGUGGGACUACCCGCUGAACUUAAGCAUAUCAAUAAGCGGAGGAAAAGAAACUAACAAGGAUUCCCCUAGUAACGGCGAGUGAAGCGGGAAGAGCUCAAAUUUAAAA